AGCUGCUAUUCCAGCUCAACCACACUGAAAGAACCCCCAUUGGAGUGAUCGUCCCAGGUCCAGCAUCGAGAAGGGUCUAGGUGCUCUACAGCCAUGUGCUUUUGGAAAGGAAAGAAGGCCUAGAAGUCUAGCAGCUGGUUCAGUAGUAUGUGGAUACCAAGAGCUGAAGUGAACAUAUCAGAUAACUAUUUUGGGAUGGAAGAUUCCAGAAGACCCCACAAAACCAUUGCUUUGAUUCCUAUAUGAUUUCUAUGAAGAAGUACUAGGAAAAUGGAGUUUCCUUUGAAAUACCAUAGGAACCAGUUCAAAGACUUCUGGGGUACACUGGAAUGGUUGCAUGUCGUACCAAAUUACCAAGGGAUAUCAGAUGCUGCUGAGGCAAUCUUGUGACAGCUCUGGCAUCCCAACAUAUUCCAGGACUGUGAGGCAUUCAAGGCCCAACCCUAAAAGGGGAUGAGAAGAGGUCUCAACACCUUGCAGGAUUGGGAAGUCAGUGUCCAGGAGAAGGUUCUGUC